rnacentral:rRNA from 1 species
UUAUGUGAUCGUCUCUCGCAUAUCAAUAAGCGGAGGAAAAGAAACUAACAAGGAUUCCCCUAGUAACGGCGAGUGAAGCGGGAAGAGCUCAAAUUUGAAAUCUUAAAGGGUUUCCCUUUACGAAUUGUAGUUUAAAGAAGUGUUUUCUGUUGAGGUUUUGGUAAAAGUUCUUUGGAAUAGGACAUCAUAGAGGGUGAGAAUCCCGUAUUUGACCUUUACUUUCAACUUUGUGAUACACUUUCAAAGAGUCGGAUUGUUUGGGAAUGCAGUCCAAAAUGGGUGGUAAAUUUCAUCUAAAGCUAAAUAUUGGCGAGAGACCGAUAGCGUACAAGUACCGUGAGGGAAAGAUGAAAAGAACUUUGAAAAGAGAGUUAAACAGUACGUGAAAUUGUCAAAGGGGAAGCGUUUGACACCAGUGUUGUUUUUCUGAAAAUCAAUUAAAGAACUGUUUAUGCUAAGUUGUUUAGACUUUAUCAGCUAACUGUUUAGUUUUGAGCUUUUCUUUAAUGCACUUUUCAGUUAAUAAGUCAACAUCAAUUUCUUUUGCUGUAAAAAAGCUUGAGGAAGGUGGCUUGAGAUUCGUCUUAAGUGUUUAUAGCCUCUUGCCUAUGCAGUCGGAGAGAUUGAGGUCUGCAGCGUAGAUCCUUCGGGGCUAAAUGCAUUUGUGCUAAGUUAUAGCAUUUUAUAGACAACUUGUUGACUAUGAUUUGUCUUGUAGCUUACUCGCUUAUGUUAUUUUACCUACGCUUAGGAUGUUGACACACGCGCGUGCUCG